GGCAUGGUUGGGCGGUCCGCUUAACAGCGAGUACUGUCUGACUGGGUCUUACCUCUUGGUGAGCCGGCGUGCCCUUCAUUGGUGUGCGUCGGGGAACCAGGACUUUUACCUUGAGAAAAUUAGAGUGUUCAAAGCAGGCAGAUGCCUGAAUACAUUAGCAUGGAAUAAUAAAAUAGGACGUGUGGUUCUAUUUUGUUGGUUUCUAGAGUCACCGUA
rnacentral:rRNA from 1 species